rnacentral:rRNA from 1 species
AGAGUUUGAUCCUGGCUCAGAACGAACGCUGGCGGCAGGCCUCAAACAUGCAAGUCUAGGGGGUGCAGCAAUGCAUCACCGGCGGACGGGUGCGUAACGCGUGGGAAUAUACCUAUUGGUUCGGAACAACUGCGGGAAACUGCAGCUAAUACCGAAUGUGCCCUAACGGGGAAAGAUUUAUCGCCAAUGGAUUAGCCCGCGUAGGAUUAGCUAGUUGGUGGGGUAAUGGCUCACCAAGGCUCCGAUCCUUAGCUGUUCUGAGAGGAAGAUCAGCCACACUGGGACUGAGACACGGCCCAGACUCCUACGGGAGGCAGCAGUUGGGAAUCUUGGACAAUGGGGGAAACCCUGAUCCAGCCAUGCCGCGUGAGUGAUGAAGGCCUUCGGGUUGUAAA